rnacentral:rRNA from 1 species
CCUACGGGGGGCAGCAGUAGGGAAUAUUGCUCAAUGGGGGAAACCCUGAACCAGCAACGCCGCGUGGAGGAUGACGGUUUUCGGAUUGUAAACCUCUUUUCUUAGAGAAGAUAAUGACGGUAUCUAACGAAUAAGCACCGGCUAACUCCGUGCCAGCAGCCGCGGUAAUACGGAGGGUGCAAGCGUUACUCGGAAUCACUGGGCGUAAAGGGCGCGUAGGCGGGUUAGCAAGUCAGAUGUGAAAUCCUAUGGCUUAACCAUAGAACUGCAUUUGAAACUGUUAUUCUAGAGUAUGGGAGAGGUAGGUGGAAUUCUUGGUGUAGGGGUGAAAUCCGUAGAGAUCAAGAGGAAUACUCAUUGCGAAGGCGACCUGCUAGAACAUAACUGACGCUGAUGCGCGAAAGCGUGGGGAGCAAACAGGAUUAGAUACCCUAGUAGUC